rnacentral:lncRNA from 1 species
CACUUGAAUGAUGAAAUGAAUGAAAGUAACAAUAUGUUUGAAUAUAACAUCUCUUUUGAAUCAUGACUCAGGAAUGACUCAUUACAAUAAACAUAAGCUAUUUCAUUUUUACCUGCAAUAGAGAAGGCUUAUCAGGAUACAAGAAGAAUAGUGUCUUCUACAUCAAAUGACCUAAGACUAAGCUUAUUUAAGUCUUUCUGCAUAUUUUUCCUUCUUCUCCAUCAAGGAGCCUUCACCUGUCAUUUUUGCUUCUGCAAAUGUGCCUUGAAUCUAUCAGGCUGUCACCAUGCUCUGCCUAAUUUGUUGAUUCUAAUGGGCACUGGCCUGAGAAAUCACAUAACCGAGGUUGUUUAACAAUACAUGCAAAGCAAAAGUAAAUAUGAUCUAAAGGGUUUAAAGUAGAUGUAUAUUUUUGCCAUAGUAUGAGUGUAGGCUAAAUUUGGAGUUACUUUGUUUUGGUUAGUUUCCUUUUUGGAUAAAAAAGCUUCAAGAUAUGGACUUAUGAUAUCUAGUUUAGCUUCUCAGAGCAUUUAAACACAAAGAUCUUGUAUUUGCUGUGUUAUGAAUAGUUCAGAAAGUGUUCUGGAUAAGUAAGACACUGUGUUUGCAAAUAAGCAUAUGUGUAUACUUUUCUGUACAAAAAACUCGUGCACUCAUUUACUGAGAAAUCAUUUGAAUGCUUAUUAUGUCCUUUUGUAUGGUCUUUAUUUCCAUCAAAUAUGUUAAAACCAACAACAGGGAGUUCCCACUGUGACUCAAUGGUAACGAAUCUGACUUGUGUCCAUGAGGAUGUGUGUUCAAUCCCUGGCCUCACUCAGUGGGUUAAGGAUCUGGCAUUGCCAGGAGCUAAGGUGUAGGUCACAGGCAGGGCUCAGAUCUGGCGUUGCUCUUGCUGUGUCAUAGGCUGGCAGCUGUAGCUCCAAUUCGACCCCUAGCCUGGGAACUUCCAUAUGCCAUGGGGCAGCCCUAAAAAAAAAUAAAAAAUAAAACCAACAAGAGUAAGUGAGAUUGCUUUUUAAGAAGCUAACACUUCCGGAGCAGCUGAGUUAUUGUUUAGCCACUUAUUCUCUGUCAUGCUCUGGAAGUCUUCAUUUAUCUCAUCUGGGUGAGACAUUUACACUCCAAAAAUACCCUAUUCAUCUUAGGGCCAGACCCCACAUGACUGCAUUCUUAACACAGAGAUUGUGGUGUUUCAUUUGUGUUAUCUGUGGCAUGUUAACUUUCUCAAAGGUAACAAGCCUAUAGCUUAGGUUCAUUCUCUUUUUACAUGGAUGGUGGUUCCUUCUGUCAGAUAGCCCUGCCAGGAGAUGCCUACAACUUGGCUUUUUCCAGAACUGACAAUAACAGCAACAAAACAAACAAUUUCAGACAAUCAAUGCUAGUCGCUAUUGACGACAUUUAAGGAAUUUGCCACAAGCUACAAAGAAAGUGCAAAAUGUAUUUUGAGUAAUUUCAAUAAUACUGUACUGGUACUUUUGAAAGAAAGGGUACCUACAUAAUUGAAUAUCUAGGCUUGGGGAUAUGGACUUUAACAGUUUAUGUAUGUGGGGGUUUUUUUGUUUGUUUUUUUUUUUUGGUCUUUUUAGGGCUGUACCCUCAGCAUAUGGAGGUUCCCAGGCCAGGAGUCUAAUCAGAGCUACAGUUGCCGGCCUAUGCCACAGCCACAGAGAUGCAGAAUCUGAGCCACAUCUGCCACCUACACCACAGCUCAUGGCCACACCAGAUCCUUAACCCACUGAGCGAGGCCAGGGAUCAAACCCUCAUCCUCAUGGAUGCUAGUUGGGUUCAUUAACCACUGAGCCACAUUGGAAACUCCUGUAUGUGGUUUUUUAGCUGUAAAGUAUAUUUAGGUCUUUUUUUUUUUAAUUGUGAAAAUAAUAUAUGCUCAUUGUGAGAAAUAUACAAGAUAAAGAUGAAAAUUAUAGAAUAAUGUGGGAAAACAUAAAAAAGAAAAUAAAUCCAUAUUCCCACCACUAUAAAUGCUUUAGUAUAUCUCUUCUCUUUUCCCUUUAUUUCUGUUUUUUAUCUUUAUAUAUUUUUUAUAAUUUUAAAUGUGUCAUACUUUUUGAAAAAUGAGUAUCAUACUUUUUAUAUUUAAGCAUUUGUCAUGCAAUUAAAAAUCAUUUGAAACCAUGUGUUUUAAUGUUUGCAUAUAUUUUAUUUCCAUCAUAUAUGAAGCAUGCUUUAAUUAAUCAUCACCUAUACAUAUAUUUUUAUAUUCAUGUUUGUUUUAUACUUACAAGGAUACAUUAACUGUCCUUGUAGAUUAAUGUUUAUCUUCACCUCUAUUUUCUUAGAAAAGGGUUCCAAAUGUGCAAUUACUAGGUCAAAGGGUAUGAUCUCUUAAAACUUUUUCUGAAAUUGUAGUUCUUUCAAAUUAAAUCCCUAUGCAUUGAAUUUCAAGGAUAUUCUAAAUUAUGACCUUGACAACAGGGCUCGCAUUGGACAGUGGGGAGAGUCUGGACUUUUGGUCAGCCUGAUAUGAUUUGCAACACUGAUCUAGCUCACUGUGAAAGAGUCUUAUAGGAAUUAGAAAUAAUACAUGUGAAAUGCCCAACCCGCAGAGAUCAUUUUUUAGACACUUUCCCCUCCCACCCGUGUUACUGCUACCAGGGAUGAUGAAAAUGACCAGAGCAGUAAAUAAAAUAACUUAGUUGGAGGGAUAAGACACUUUGUUAAGACCUUAACAUAAUAUGUCUUUAAAUAACAUAAUAGUCUAUUGCAGUGCCUGAUUAAGUGCUAAAAUUGUAAACAAAGAGGCAUUCAGGAAUACACUAUAGCUGUAUCUGGAAGUAGAAGUUGGUAUUAGAUAAGAAAGUAAAAUGUAUUUUCCAGGUGAUAGUCAGGACUUGAAUACAUUCACGAAUAAAGGGAUGUUAGAAUUGAACAUGAAAUUGGGGCCAGAUUUUUGACCCUGAAGACAAGCAUGAGUUGACGCUUUAGUCUUUAGACAAGGAGGGAGUUACAGAUGAGUGAGUUGAAAGAUAAGAGAUGUAAGCAGAACUGUCAGAACAUUAAUCUGACUGUCAUUUCUUCCUUCAUUGCUUUUGGCUACAGCCCUAUCAUGUGAUUUUUUUUUUUUUUUUGGUUCUUUUUUUUUUUUUUUUUUUUUUUAGCUUCCCAAGUCCUUGGUUUAAUUUACCAAGAAAGAGAGAUACAGAAAUUAUGUUCCAAGAGAGAUCCUCAUGUGAGUGGAAGGAAGCUGCAGAUAUGGCUUCUAAGCCUGCUGACUUCAAAGCCAGUGUUUCUUCCUCCCCUUGCUGCAGAAUACAACUUUUCAUAGCUGCUCAGUCAAAUCUGGAAAUCCUAGAAUAGGACAUAUAUUUUUCAUAGACACUUAGUAAUGCCCCCAAAAGUUAUUCCUACCCUGACUAUAGUAUGUAAAGUUUGGCCUUUUUCUCUUUACAUGGAACCUAAAUUCUCAAUGGCUCAGUUUUCAUGCUUCUCUGUGGCAGAAUUUCUCCCAUUUUAAAAAUAAAUUUGAUGACUCUCUGAGGAUUUGAUCAAAUCCUCCUUCACUGAUGAGUUUCUGUACUGUGGGCAUAUAACCUCAAGUUACAAUUUAAUUACAAGUUUCUGAAAAAUUUAUAUUUUGAUAUUCAAAGUCCUUGUGUAUAAGUUGCAAAUAAAUAAAACCUGUAUUACAACUAUGCAAAAGUAAAAUGCUUGUAUACUACUAUGGCCAAUAAUAUUGAUGGCAAACAAUAACAGAACAAAUAACAUUAAUAGCAUUAUAUGAUUAUUUAAAGAAAAUCCAUAUUAGAUCACUACGCAUUUUAUAGGUGCUUAUUAAGGUAUUUUAACGUACUAAUUAGGGUCAAAUCCAGCUGUUUUUUCCCCUGCGUGUACCUUUGAGCUCCAUCCAGUCCAUUUCAAAUGUUAAAGAAAUUCAAAUGAAUUAUCAUUUUAGAUAAUAGCCUUUUAGAAAAUAGAGUUUAUGGUUAGCAACAGAUAAACUCUGGCUUUAUAACACAGACUUAAAUUCUGUCACCCAGUGUUUCACCUUCUGAUCUUCUUAUCACCAAAGAAGAUCUCGUUUCAUAACCUGUAUUUGUACCAAAAUCUAUUCUUUUAUACGUUUGCAUAACCGAGCCACCACGUUUUAGCCAGGCAGGAACUGACAUUAUAAAUAAUGCUUUUUUUGUAACCUGAUUGUCAUUUCCCUGCAUAUAAACUGAAAUACGUGAAGACUCACACUCUACCUGUUAAGUCAAUUUGGGGAAAACAAAUCAAUUAGGAGGAGCUUUCCUGUUUAUUGAGAUUAAACCUCUUAUAUCUGUUAACAUAUUCAAUAGUGCUUCCAAAAAAAAUCCUUGAAAAAUAAUGAUAUAUUUCCAACUCGGGCAAGGGUCAAACUUCAAAGUAAUUGCUCUUCAUGCCUAUGCCUAUAAUUUUUAUAUAAAAAAUGUAGGGCCUCCCCAGUACAAGAUUAAGAAAAGGAACAAAUAUGCUUCUUUUAAAUUAAUUAGCAGAAAACACACAUAGAAUUCUAUCAAUUGAUCUAAAUAAAGACGACACCUCUGAAAACCUCAUGAGAGGUUGAGAACAGCUAAAUUUUGACUUGUAGUUGCUUCCUUCUGACAGGAGACCUGUAGUCAGCAUGGAGUCUCCAUGUCUCAGUAACCUGCUUUCAUGAUUCUGAUUUCACGGUGUUCAGAGUUCAAUUAUAUCUUAUAAUGUGCAAUUUUUAAAAAAUCAUCUACUCACCCAUUGCACCCGUAUUUCUUAUGCACUGAAAUAUGAAAAAUUCAAAGUAGAGAGUGGCAAAUCUCUCAGUAUUUUCCAACAGUAGAAUAAUCUAUAAAUCUCUGAGGCUCAACCGCUUUCCUAUUUCCGCAAAGCACUAGCUAAGUAUAUAAGUACAUAGCAUAGGCAGUUUCCUUAGAAUAGAAGACAAUGAAAAUGUUAUUUGCAUUUUCUUGCGGAAGUGAUCUGGACAUCUACCUAGUCAAAGCAUCAUUUAGCACAAAAGACUUAGUCACCAGUGCCCCUAUCCAUAGUUUCAAAAUCCAGGCAGUAUAAUGGAAAUUUAUGCAAGGCUCUUUAAUCCCGGGCUCAAAAUGAAUCUGUGCUCGUCCGUAAGUGAAUUAAGCACAGAAAUUAGUUUACCCCUCUCUAUGUUCUAUCUUCUUUCCUCGUGCUUUGCUUGUCUUGGUUCAUUUUUUUUUCCUCCAUGGUCCGUACAUUAUUUCAAAUCCUAGAAAAAAAAGAGAGGGUUUGGGACCCAAACAUAGCCAAUAAUCAAGGCAGAGUGCCCAGAAUUAUAGGACUAUCAUAAUUUAGUAUUUGGUUCCUCUCUGGAAAUGCAGUUCAGCAUCUGCACGAUUGCAGCUCCACAGACACCCUUGAAAAAGCAUUAACCUCUCAAAACAACAUGCUAGAAAAGCACCACGCACACUUGGUAAUCUAAAACACCAGCCCAUAUCCUGCAAGUGCACU